rnacentral:rRNA from 1 species
GACAUAGGGCGCAAGCGUUGUCCGGAUUUAUUGGGCGUAAAGAGCUCGUAGGCGGCCUGUCGCGUCGACCCGUGAAAACCCGCAGCUCAACUGCGGGCUUGCGGUCGAUACGGGCAGGCUCGAGUUCGGUAGGGGAGGACUGGAAUUCCUGGUGUGAGCGGUGGAAAUGACGCAGAUAUACAGGGAGGAAACCACCCGGGUUG